CCUGUUUUGAUCGGAAUAUUGAUAGGGGUGUAAUUGGCUGCCCAAAGGAUGCGAAUCGUUUUUACAAAAAUGCCGUCUCGGGAACGUGGCGACGCGUCAACCGGCUGGUGGUUCUUGUUUUCCCUACAGAAAAUAACAACAACUGUUCUCCGAGUCAAUCCACCUGAUCAUCGAAGAAGGAACUCACACUAGCCUGACAGCGGGUAUUCGCUUCUUAACUGUAACUGCUGGCAAUCAAUAUAUCGGUUCCCUCAAGGCGCGGGAACUUCCCUGAUUAUUGGUACUCAAGUUUCGGUUUAGUAGUCAUCCAGGCGCCGAAGGCGCCUGUCAGGUUUCGAAACAAGUUUCCUUGAUAUACACCGCGAGCUUUUGUACAUUUUCGCUGACACACGGAAGUGGUUUUGCCCUCUUCACUAUCACGGAAGCGACUCUAUCAUAGAAGGAUUGCAGGCGGAAGGGUAAAUUGUGUGAGGUCACUGGAUACAUUUGUGACUUCGCACACUGGUAACUUAUUUUCUUCUCCGCAGGCGGACAACCUAAUUUAGUUGCGGCGGAUAUUCAUCACACCGGGGCUACAAAUCAACCUCCUCAGUACAAUUUCGCAAUUUGAGUGUACCAUGUUUUUUUUGUUUUUCUUGUGGGAAAGUCAAGACCCCAUGCGAACUAGCAUAGCAAUAAGCACAUACGCAAUGCCGUGUGUUUGUUGUUGGCUGCGUGCAUCAUGGAGGCCGGGCGAAUUGCCUUGCAGAGACGGCCAGUCCUGUGUGGUCUGUAAAAUACGUAACCCCACAGAGUCACGUGCAGCCCAUCGAAGCGUUUCUCUCCUCCGAGACCCAUCUGUGGAACUUCGUGCAUGUAGAAUAAUGAAGCAUUGACGAAAGUUGCGUAGGGUUUCUAAGUCGCACAAGAGUGGAGAUAACGUACUGUAGACCAGGACGUAGCGGGGCGCGUACAUUAACGGUUAACAUCAUCAGGGGACAAGCAGUGCCGCCUGGGGCUUCAGCGACGUGCCCCCGUUCCUUCUGGGACUGUAUAUUAUGUACUUAAGGGGAGUACUAUCGAGCCUCUUCUUCGGAGAAGCUCCUUUUGCUCCUUUGAACUCGUCAACAGCGGUGUCUGUUUUCCGUUUCCGCGCUGAAACGCAUGCUCAUCUUGACUCAGUGAUGCAUCCCUUCGAUUCGAAAGAAGCACCGACAGUGCCUUUCGUCCUCGUCUGUAGUCGGCUUUGCCCUGAAAGAGUCUACUGUCGCUUCCCCUUUCCGUGUGCCUUACGGAUCCACUUGAUCCUAUUUACUGACACACUUGGUGUAACAGACCUGCCUCCCUCUUCCUACUGCGAACGCUGGACCCGCUGCCAGGCCCUGCCGCUCAUCGUCUGCGCCCCACCGUGCUGUUUUGGCAUUCGGUACAGAUGACUCAGCUUGUCCGCUGAUUCUGCUUUGGAUCUUUUUCUCGAAUUUAAGUUGUGGUUGACCCCGAACGUAUCAGUGCCAGACUUCGGGACUACAGACUACUCCGCUGGUUAGUCACGCUGGAUCGUUCCUGUCGCAGAAGUCUGUUUCUGUGCCGGGGUCCAUGAUCGACGACCACGGCUGACGCCAGCGCGAGAUUUGAGGUUUUGCCACUAUGAC
rnacentral:lncRNA from 1 species